rnacentral:lncRNA from 10 species
AGCAACCCGCUAGGGUCUUUUUCCACACCGUGGAAGCUUUGUUCUUUUGCUUUUUGCAAUAAAUCUUACUGCUGGUCACUCUUUGGGUCCACACUGCCUUUAUGAGCUGUAACACUCACCGCGAAGGUCUGCAGCUUCACUCCUGAAGCCAGUGAGACCACGAGCCCACUGGGAGGAAUGAACAACUCCAGAAACGCCGCCUUAAGAGCUGUAACACUCACCAUGAAGGUCUGCAGCUUCACUCCUGAGCCAGCGAGACCACGAACCCACCAGAAGGAAGAAACUCCGAACACAUCUGAACAUCAGAAGGAACAAACUCCGGACACGCUGCCUUUAAGAACUGUAACACUCACUGUGAGGGUCCACGGCUUCAUUCUUGAAGUCAGUGAGACCAAGAACCUACCAAUUCUGGACACAGUGAGACCAAGAACCCACCAAUUCCGGACACAACACUGAAAAAGAGAAGUGAAAGAGGACACCCUUACCUUGUUUCUGAGCUGAGAAAGCUUCUUGUUUCUCACCAUUAAUAGGUGUUAGCUAUAGGGUUUUGUUAAUGUUCUUUAUCAAAUAGAGGAAGUUCUCUUCUAGUCCUAGUUUGGUGAGAGUUUUUAUCAUAAAUGGGUAUCGGACUUAGUCAAUUUUUUUUUGUAUCUAUUGAUGUAAUCUUGUGAUUUUUCUUUCUCUGUUGAUGUGAUGGAUUAUAGUGAUUGAGUUUUUGAAUGUUGAACCAGGCUUGCAUACCUUGGGUAAUUCCAUUUGGUCACGGUAUAUAAUUCUUUUGUUUUGUUUUGUUUUUGAGACGAAGUCUCGCUCUGUCACCCAAGCUGGAGUGCAGUGGCGUGAUCCCAGCUCACAGCAACCUCCACCUCCCAGGUUCCAGCGAUUCUCCUGCCUCAGCCUCUGGAGUAGCUGGGACUACAGGUGCGUGCCACCAUGCCCAGCUAAUUUUUGUAUUUUUAGUAGAGACAGGGUUUCACUAUGUUGGCCAGGCUGGUCUUGAACUCCUGACCUCGUGAUCCACCUGCCUCAGCCUCCCAAAGUGCUGGGAUUACUGGCGUGAGCCACUGCACCCAGCCUGUUUUGUUUUGUUUUGUUUUUUGAGUUGAAGUUUCCCUCGUCAUCCAGGCUGGAGUGCAAUGACGCGAUCUCAGGUCACUGCAACCUCCACCUCCCAGGUCCAAGCAAUUCUCCUGCCUCAGCCUCCCAAGUAGCUGGGACUACAGAUGUGCACCACCACGCCCAGCUAAUGUUUGUAUUUUUAGUAGAGAUGGGGUUUUUACAUGUUGACCAGGCUGGUCUCGAAUUCCUGACCUCAGGAGAUCUGCCCCCUUGGCCUCCCAAAGUGCUGGGAUUACAUGUGUGAGCCACCAAGCCUGGCCCUGGUUAUGGCAUACAAUUCUUUUUACACAUUGUCGUAUUUGAUUUGUUAAUAUGGUGUUGAGUAUUUUUGCAUUAAUAUUCAUGAGAAAUAUUGGUCUGUAGUUUUCUUUUCUUUGUCUUGUUUUGAUAUUAAGGUAAUAUUGACCUCACAGAAUGAGCUAGGAAGUAUUCCCUCUGCUUCUAUCUUCUGAAAGAGAUUAGAGAGUCAGAAUAAUUUCUUCCUUAAAUAUUUGAUAGAAUUCACCAGUGAACUCAUCUGGGCCUGAUGCUUUCUGUUACAGAAAAUUAUUAAUCAUUGAUUCAACUUUUUUUUUUUUUUGAGACAGAGUCUUGCUCUGUCACCCAGGCUGGAGUGCAGUGGCGUGACCUCGGCUCACUGCACGCUCCACCUCCUGGGUUAAAGCAGUUCUCCUGCCUCAGCCUCCUGAGUAGCUGGGAUUACAGGCACUUGCCACCACGCCCGGCUAAUUUUUGUAUUUUAAGUAGGGAUUCGCCAUGUUGGUCAGGCUGUUUUCGAACUCCUGACCUCAUGAUCCGCUCACCUCGUCCUCCCAAAGUGCUAGGAUUACAGGCGUGAGCCACCAUGCCUGGCUGAUUCAAGUUCUUUAAUAGAUAUUGGCCCAUUCAGAUUGUCUGUUUCUCUUCAUAUGUUUUGGCAGAUUGUAUCUUUCAAGGAAUUUGCCCAUUUCAUCUAGUUUGUCAAAUGCCUGGGCAUAGUUGUUCAUAAUAUUCCUUUCUUAACCUCUUAAUGUUCAUGGGAUAUGUAAUUAUUAAUAUCAGAAGUGAAAGAGGUAUCUUUCACUUCUGAUAUUAAUAAUUUGUCAACUCUUUUUUUUUUUAGCCUGGUUAGAGGCUUAUUGAUUUUAUUGAUCUUUUCAAAGAACAGACUUUUAAUUUUGAUGAUUUUUUUUUUUUUUGAGACGGAGUUUGCCCAGGCUAGAAUGCAGUGGCACAAUCUCAGUUCACUGCAACUUCUGCCUCCUGGAUUCAAGUGAUUCUCCUGCCUCAGCCUCCCAAGUAGCUGGGACUACAGGCAUGCACCACCAUGCCUGGCUAAUUUUUAUAUUUUUAGUAGAGGCAGGGUUCGCCAUGUUUGCCAGGCUGGUCUCAAACUCGUGACCUCAAGUGAUCUGCCUGCCUUGGCCUCCCAAAGUCCUGGAAUUACAGGCGUGAGCCACUGUGCCCAGCUUUUUUUUUUUUUUUUUAAAGAGACAGGGUCUUGCUCUGUUGCCCAGGCUGGAGUGCAGUGGCCCGAUCUUGGCUCUCUGCAACCUCUGCCUCUUGGGCUUGAGUGAUCCUCCCAACUCAGCAUCCUGAGUUUCUUUUUGUUUUUUUUUCGGACUAUUUUCUCUUUGCUUUUUCAUUUCAGAAGUUUCUAUUGACAUAUCUUUAAGCUGAGAGAGUCUUUCCUCAGCCUUAUGCACAUUACUAAUGAGCCCGUCAAAGGCAUUCUUUAUUUCUGUUACAAUGUUUUUGAUCUCUAGCAUUUACUUUUUAUUCUUUCUUAGAAUUUCCAUCUCUCUGCAUUGCCCAUCUGUUCUUGCAUGCUUUCUACUUUAUCCAUUAGAUCCCUUAGCAUAUUCAUCAUAGUUCUCUUAAAUUCCUGGUCUGGGCUGGGCGCAGUGGCUGUAAUCCCAGCACUUUGGGAGGCCGAGGUGGGCGGAUCACGAGGUCAGGAGUUUGAGACCAGCCUGGCCAACAUAGUGAAACCCUAUCUGUACUAAAAAUACAGAAAUUAGCCGGGUGUGCUGGUGCAUGCCUGUAGUCCCAGCUACUCAGGAGGCUGAAGCAGGAGAAUCGCUUGAACCCGGGAGGCAGAGGUGGCAGUGAGCCAAGAUUGCACACCAGCCCGGGUGACAGUGUGAGACUCCAUCUCAAAAAAUAAAAUAAAAUAAAAUAAAAAUAAAUUCAUGGUCUGAUAUUUCCAGUGUCCCUGCAUAUCUGAGUCUGGUUCUGAUGCUUGCUCUGUCUCUGCAAACUGUGUUUUUGCCUUUUAGUAUGCCUUGUAGAAGAAACUGAGAUAAAUAAGCCUUUAGUGAUGUGGUGGCAAGGUGUGGCAUGAGGGGAAGGGAAGCAUUAUAUAGUCCUAUGACUGGAUCUCGGUCUUUUAGUGAGCCUGUGCCUCUGGACUGUGAACUUCACAAGUACUUCUCAGGUUUUUUCCCCCGCCACCUAGGUGAGACAUGGUGGCUAUAGUGGGUUGAGGUUGGGUAUUUUUCUUCUAUCAGAUAGAAGGCUAAAGAGGGCUGGAGUUGGGCAUUUUUCUCUCCCCUGAUUGGCUAGGCUCUGAUAAAACCCCAGACAAUGGUGAAGUCGUUUCUCUGAGUGCAGGCCUUGUUAAGGAUAACAGAAGGCAGCCAGGCACAGUGGCUCAAGUCUCCAAUUCCAGCACUUUGAGAGGCCAAGGCAGGAGGAUUGUUUCAGGCCAGGAGUUUGAGACCAGCCUGGCCAAUAUGGCAAGACCCCAUCUCAACAAAAAACAUUAGCUGAGUGUGGUGGUACACACCCAUAGUCCCAGCUACUUGGGAGGCUAAGCAGGAGGAUCCCUUGAGCCUGGGAGGUGGAGACUAGUGAGCCAGGAUUAUGCUGCUGUACUCCAGCCUGGGUGACAGAGUGAGACUUUUAUUAAAAAAAAAAAAAAAAAAAAAAAAACGAGAGAGAGAGAAUGACAGAAUAUUCUUAUACAUUUCAAAAUGGUUUGUUUUCCCCUCUCCCUGCUAGAAGCACAAGGGGAUUUUUCUCUGAUAAUCAUUGUGAGAACCUGUUAGAACUCCUGGAGGUAAAACUCAAAAGUAUGGCGGCCCCCCUGAAUGAGUCUUCCUG